UGGGUCAAACUGCAUGCCUGCCUGACUCCUCCAGCUUCCCCAUGGGCUGUCAAGUGCCCUACAAGCAGCAGCAACCCUGAUGGCUGCAGGUUACCACUCACAGCACUCCUUGGUCCUGAAUUUGGCACAUACUUCUGCUGAUUCAUCACCUGCAAUAACGAAAUUGAGCUGCAAGAGCACCACAGGUCAAGGAGUCUGUACGAGCACUGCAUGUCCUCCCGUUUUGCACUUUUGUUGGUAAAAGCCCAUGAGCAUUCAUCUAUCCCAGGAUACAAAUAGGUCUCUGCAUUAUCUCUGCCACUGAAAGCUUUACAAGGCCACCCUAACAGGGAGCAAGAAAAACAAUCAGUGGGAGAUAUGUCUGAUAUAACUUGUAUUUUUUAUUAAUAAGCUGCUGUUGAAAAAAUGAUGUGAAGACCGGUCUGCUGACUGGAAGAGGAACUUGCUAAUGAACAUCUGGCAUGGCAUGUUAAAUAAGCCUGUUUCUUCAUUGCAACGUAGAGGGGAGCUUGGGGAGGCACUCAGGACCCUCAGAAGGAAAGACUACAUGUAUACGAAUAAAAUGAUAAAUUCUGAUGUUCUUAGACUCUGCAGUUAGAGUAAACAGAAUAUAUAGCAAUAUAUAACAUUCUUAAAAUAAAUAUCUUGCUAGAAAACCUCCAUGCCCAGAGAGUCUACUGUUUGGUAGAGGUGCCAUCCCAGGGAUCAUAGUACAGCAAGAUACAGAGGAGCAAAUUCCUGUGUUUGGAACUUCUCUUUAAACUGUUUACUCCACUGGGGAGAUACUAGCAAAGAGUACAGAAUCCUCUGAAGAUUGUUUCCACUGCUAUUUCCUCUGUGUAGCUAUGGCAGGAUGAUUUUUUUGACAAAAACUUGUCCUUCUUUGUUGCUCUGUAAGAGUGGGUUAAGUUGUCUCCUCACAUGAAGUUUUUCCUGAAUCCUUUUCUCUUCUGUGGUCUUUAUCUCUCUGUUGCACUGUGCUCUCAGUAAAAGAACCCCUCUGGUACAAA